rnacentral:sRNA from 1 species
AAGGCAGCGGCGCGGCGCGGCGCCUUUGUGGUAGCAGUGGCCCCGCGCGGAGGAAGUUCCGGUCCCCGCGGCGCUGGGUCGGUGGCGGAGGCUGAGGAGAAGGAGGAGCGGGCCGUGGAGGCUUCGCCGCCUAGGUACAGCUAUAACCAGAAUUUGGUAGAAAAAGGAUCUACUUGUUGGGGCCCUCUUGAUAAAAAGAGAUGUGGGGGGAUCCUCGACCUGCUAACAGAACUGGACCUUUUCGGUAAGCUCUCAAAUUUGAAUAUUGAAAUUGCCAGUAUUUUAAUUAUAAAUGUGUAACAUUUUCGCCUACUAUAAAUGAAGAUAUUUUCUCUGUGGAGAAAUAGUUUCUGAUUUUUUAAAAAUAGAAAUUCGGCUGGGCGCAUUGGCUCACGCCUGUAAUCCCAGCACUUUGGGAGGCUUAGGCGGGCAGAUCACGAGGUCAGGAGAUCGAGACCAUCCUGGCUAUCACGGUGAAACCCCAUCUCUAUUAAAAAAUACAAAAAAAUUAGCCGGGCGUGGUGGCGGGCGCCUGUAGUCCCAGCUACUCGGGAGGCUGAAGCAGGAGAAUGGCGUGAACCUGGG